GAUGAAGAACGUAGUGAAAUGCGAUAAGUAGUGUGAAUUGCAGAAUUCAGUGAAUCAUCGAAUCUUUGAACGCACAUUGCGCCCCUUGGUAUUCCAUGGGGCAUGCCUGUUCGAGCGUCAUUUGUACCUUCAAGCCUUGCUUGGUGUUGGGUGUUUGUCUCGCCUCUGCGCGCAGACUCGCCUCAAAACAAUUGGCAGCCGGCGUAUUGAUUUCGGAGCGCAGUACAUCUCGCGCUUUGCACUCAGAACGACGACGUCCAAAAGUACAUUUUUACACUCUUGACCUCGGAUCAGGUAGGGAUACCCGCUGAACUAAAGCAUAUCAAUAAGCGGAGGA
rnacentral:misc_RNA from 1 species